rnacentral:rRNA from 1 species
CUUUACUAUAGUUUGGUAUUGGUGUUCGGUGUGGCUUGUGUAGGAUAGGUGGGAGACUGUGAAGCGGGCACGCCAGUGUUCGUGGAGUCAUCGUUGAAAUACCACUCUGGUCACUCUGGAUAUCUAACUUCGGCCCGUGAUCCGGGUCAGGGACAGUGCCUGAUGGGUAGUUUAACUGGGGCGGUUGCCUCCCAAAAUGUAACGGAGGCGCCCAAAGGUUCCCUCAACCUGGUUGGCAAUCAGGUGGCGAGUGUAAGUGCACAAGGGAGCUUGACUGUGAGACUGACAAGUCGAGCAGGGACGAAAGUCGGGACUAGUGAUCCGGCAGUGGCUUGUGGAA